rnacentral:rRNA from 1 species
UACGUAGGGACCAAGCGUUGUUCGGAUUUAUUGGGCGUAAAGAGCUCGUAGGCGGUUCGUCGCGUCGGCUGUGAAAUCCCGAGGCUCAACCUCGGGUCUGCAGUCGAUACGGGCGGACUGGAGUUCGGCAGGGGAGACUGGAAUUCCUGGUGUAGCGGUGAAAUGCGCAGAUAUCAGGAGGAACACCGGUGGCGAAGGCGGGUCUCUGGGCCGAUACUGACGCUGAGGAGCGAAAGCGUGGGGAGCGAACAGG